GCUUGUCUCAAAGAUUAAGCCAUGCAUGUCUAAGUACAAGCCUCAGUAAGGUGAAACCGCGAAUGGCUCAUUAAAUCACACCUAAUCUACUGGAAAGUUACUAGUUACUUGGAUAACUGAGGUAAUUCUUGAGCUAAUACAUGCGAAAAGACCCGACUUUGCGGAAGGGUUGCAUUUAUUAGAUACAAAACCAAUGCGGGGCAACCCGGUUGUUGGUGAUUCAUAAUAACUUUUGCGGAUCGCAUGGCCUUGAGCCGGCGACGAAUCAUUCAAAUUUCUGCCCUAUCAACUUUCGAUGGUACGGUAUUGGCCUACCAUGGUUACCACGGGUAACGGGGAAUUAGGGUUCGGUUCCGGAGAGGGGGCCUGAGAAAUGGCCACCACAUCCAAGGAAGGCAGCAGG
rnacentral:rRNA from 1 species